AGUUCGGAUUGUAGUCUGCAACCCGACUACAUGAAGCCGGAAUCGCUAGUAAUCGCGGAUCAGAAUGCCGCGGUGAAUACGUUCCCGGGUCUUGUACACACCGCCCGUCACACCAUGGGAGUCGGGAAUGCCCGAAGUCAGUGACCCAACCCAAGGGAGGGAGCUGCCGAAGGCAGGCCUGGUGACUGGGGUGAAGUCGUAACAAGGUACC
rnacentral:rRNA from 1 species